UUCCAUCCCUUCCCUGAAGGAAACACGCUGCAGUCCAAGUCCGACCUUCAACCCUCCACCCCGGACAGCUGAUGUGGAAAUAAUGGCGCCAACGCAGACAUAAAGCGGCAGACAGGCAAGGUCGCCCGAGUCAUCAAGACUGGGAGGCAUUGAAGCACAACAAACGGUUCCGGAUUAAGAAGUCACAGACAGUCCAAGGCCUGGUUAAGGGUUUUCCAGACUGUAACUUGUCACCAAUCAGCAGCAGCCCUGAAUCUCCAUGGCAACAGAACUUGUCAUCUGCCAGUAAACCAGCCUGGUAGGGUCUUCAUCAUGUCAUUUCUAUGUGUUUAUCUGUGUUCCAACAUAGUUUAUUAUUGGAAGUUCAGCAUAAAUGUAAUUAUAUGAUUCCAAUAAAUAACUAUAAGAGAAAGUGAACAUGGAAUUAAAGCAUUUAGCUUAAUUUUCUUGUAUCACAAGUAAAUCCAU